GUCUGCCUUUAGCCUUUUCUCGAACGCCUCUCCUAUGAUUGGUUUUCCCUACACGGCCCGGAAUGUUAGUAUGCUGCGCUCUCUCCCACGUCACUAGUUUCAUAAAUAGAUUUUCCUAACGUCAUGCCAGAUCAUUGUAAUUGGUUCCCGUCGCUUCUGUUGAAUUCCUGAUAGGCUAGGAAGUUUGUUCCUCGAGGUAAUAUUGUGGUGAGCCUAUCCUACCUGUUUGCUUGUCCUAACCUUAGCAGCACCUACAUUAUUAUCUCGACAUUCCCCUCCCACGGAUUCUGCCCUCGUUGGCAGCAUUGAAGGAACGUAGCCAUGAUAUAGCAGCUAAGCAGCUACCCGUCCACUGUACUAGAGAGAGAGAGAGCCAGCCAUCCCGUUAUAAUACACACUAGUUCCCAUUGAUCACCCAGCUACCCAACUGAUUUAGGGUAACGGACUUUACCAUGAGAUUGAACACUUAUUUUAUGUACUAUUGGAUUGGUCUUGCAUUAUUU